rnacentral:piRNA from 1 species
UGGAAAUUAUGGGCAGUAAGGAGUUUCA